AGUGAACGCUGGCGGUAGGCCUAACACAUGCAAGUCGAACGGCAGCACAGUAAGAGCUUGCUCUUACGGGUGGCGAGUGGCGGACGGGUGAGGAAUACAUCGGACUCUACUUUUUCGUGGGGGAUAACGUAGGGAAACUUACGCUAAUACCGCAUACGACCUACGGGUGAAAGCAGGGGAUCUUCUGACCUUGCGCGAUUGAAUGAGCCGAUGUCGGAUUAGCUAGUUGGCGGGGUAAAGGCCCACCAAGGCGACGAUCCGUAGCUGGUCUGAGAGGAUGAUCAGCCACACUGGAACUGAGCCACGGUCCAGACUCCUACGGGAGGAAGCAGUGGGGAAUAUUGGACAAUGGGCGCAAGCCUGAUCCAGCCAUACCGCGUGGGAGAAGAAGGCCUUCGGGUUGUAAAGCCCUUUUGUUGGGAAAGAAAAGCAGCAGGUUAAUACCCCGCUGUUCUGACGGUACCCAAAGAAUAAGCACCGGCUAACUUCGUG
rnacentral:rRNA from 1 species